GAUGAACGCUGGCGGCGUGCCUAAUACAUGCAAGUCGAGCGAACGGACGAGAAGCUUGCUUUUCUGAUGUUAGCGGCGGACGGGUGAGUAACACGUGGAUAACCUACCUAUAAGACUGGGAUAACUUCGGGAAACCGGAGCUAAUACCGGAUAAUAUUUUGAACCGCAUGGUUCAAAAGUGAAAGACGGUCUUGCUGUCACUUCUAGAUGGAUCCGCGCUGCAUUAGCUAGUUGGUAAGGUAACGGCUUACCAAGGCAACGAUGCAUAGCCGACCUGAGAGAGGGAUCGGCCACACUGGAACUGAGACACGGUCCAGACUCCUACGGGAGGCAGCAGUAGGGAAUCUUCCGCAAUGGGCGAAAGCCUGACGGAGCAACGCCGCGUGAGUGAUGAAGGUCUUCGGAUCGUAAAACUCUGUUAUUAGGGAAGAACAUAUGUGUAAGUAACUGUGAACAUCUUGACGGUACCUAAUCAGAAAGCCACGGCUAACUACGUG
rnacentral:rRNA from 1 species